CAAAGGGACUACAUUCACAGGCAAAGCUAUCUUGGCAGCUAUACCAUCAGUGUUCCCUCAGAUUGAGUCUGUUCUAUUGGAUCCACAAUUGCCUUUUCCUCAUUUCAAGGCCAUACAAAAUCUUUAUGAAGAAGGUAUUGAGCUUCCUAAAGAUGCUGGUCUUUUACCUUUGCUUCCAAGACUCAUCAAAGCUGCUACUGAAGCUCGCGACGAUAUUCUCCAGUUCGAAGCACCAAUCCUCAUUAACAGUACCUACCUAUCUCUCCUUUUGAAUCUUCCAUUAUACUGUUUUGGUUGUGACUUGUGACUAAACUGACUUUUCUAAUAUCAUUCACAUUGGUUGAUUCAGGGGAUAGAUUUUCAUGGUUAAGAGACGACGAGUUUGCUCGCCAGACACUUGCGGGCCUUAAUCCUUACUGCAUUGAACUAGUUAAAGUAAGCUAUAAAUGCAUCUCAAUUAUUGAUAUAUUAUUUGUUUAACUCUUUUAGAGUAUGACUUGUUUUUUUAUUUUCAUAGUAAAACCUAUAAUUUAACACUAUUUUAAUUUGGCACCUUAGUAAAUUAUUGUUUCUUCCAUUUAAGUAAGAUAAAUGUUUAAGCUUUUUUUUAAUUAAAAAACAUAUAAUGUAUUAAAUAAACUAUUUAGAAACCUAGUAUACCCUUAUACUAUAAGUAAGUAUAUUUGUUUUAACUUUAAUAAUAACAAAUACAUGCAUUAAGAAAUGUUAUACAUAUUUUGAUUUGCAAAAAUCAAAGAAAAAAACCUUUGUAAAACAGAGUGAAUAUGAUUAAAAUAUAUUACUAUUUAUUUUAUCAACUAAAAAUAUCACUUUGACACAAUGCACAAAAAUUAAGAAAACAUUGAAGUAUACAUAUAUGCUCCUAUUUAAUAUGUGUUUAAUAAUUUAAUUAAUUUAAGAUUAAGGGUAAAAUUAGGAAUCUUUGUGUUAAAAAUGCAUUAGAAAUCUUAAGUGACAUUCUUUGUGAAACAAAAUUAAAACUCUAGAAUGACACUCUUUGUAAAAGAGAGAGAGUAUAAAAUAUUGGCAAUGAGUCUUAAAUAGGAUGUCAGUAAUUUUGUAUUGUUGUUACUUUCAGGAAUGGCCAAUGAAAAGCAAACUAGACCCGGCCAUUUAUGGUGAUCCCACCUCACUCAUUACUUGGGAAAUUGUGGAAAAAGAAGUUAAAGGAAACAUGUCAGUUGAUGAGGUAACACUAUUUUUAGAAAGAGACAACGCAUGUGUGUGUGUAUUUAGAGUAUUAUUUACUUAAUGUAUCAUGUAUACAUGCAGGCUCUAAAGAAUAAGAGAUUGUUCGUGUUGGAUUAUCAUGAUUUGCUUCUACCUUAUGUGAACAAAGUGAGAGAGUUGGAUAACACCAACUUAUAUGCAUCUCGAACACUAUUCUACCUCAGCGAUGAUAGCACAUUGAGGCCUGUUGCCAUUGAGUUGACAGUUCCACCAAAUAUCAACAAGCCACAAUGGAAGCAAGUCUUCACACCAGGCUAUGAUGCUACCUCAUGCUGGCUAUGGAGUCUUGCUAAGACUCAUGCUAUAUCUCAUGACGCCGGUUAUCACCAGCUUAUAUCCCAUUGGUAUUGAAAAACACUCAUUAAUUCAAAACACACAUAUUUAUAUGAUCUUCUUAUAUACGGAUUACUGAUGGAUAAAUUUACAGGUUGAGGACUCAUUGUUGUAUGGAGCCGUACAUUAUAGCGGCAAACAGGCAACUAAGUGCAAUGCAUCCUAUCUAUAGGCUUUUGCAUCCUCACUUCCGUUACACGAUGGAGAUCAACGCUCGUGCACGUCAAAGUCUUGUCAAUGCAGGUGGAAUCAUUGAGACUUGUUUUUGGCCCGGGAGGUAUUCAUUGGAGCUAAGUUCAGACGUCUAUGAUAAACUAUGGAGGUUUGACAUGGAAGGCUUACCUGCUGAUCUCAUCAAAAGGUGCAUUUUGCUAAUUAAAAUGAAAUAUAUUUACCACCAAAGUUUAAUUGCAAAGCUAAUUAGUUUUUGUUUCCAUUAAAAAUUUGCAAUAUAAGGGGGAUGGCUGAAGAAGAUGAGAACGCUAAACAUGGACUACGCCUGACGAUACCAGACUACCCGUUUGCGAAUGACGGUCUAAUAUUAUGGGAUGCAAUUAAAGAAUGGGUGACAGAAUAUGUGAACCACUAUUAUCCAGAUGCAGAACUGAUCAAGUCGGACGAGGAACUUCAAGGAUGGUGGAGCGAAGUGCAAAACGUAGGACAUGGAGACAAGAAAGAUGAACCUUGGUGGCCUGUCCUCGAGACACAAGAUGACUUAAUUAAUAUCGUCACGACGAUUGCGUGGGUCGCUUCAGGUCACCAUGCAGCUGUAAACUUUGGACAGUAUGGAUAUGGAGGAUACUUCCCUAACAGACCAACCACAACAAGGAUAAAAAUGCCGACAGAAGAACCAACAGAUGAAGAGCUAGAGGAGUUCUACGAGUCACCAGAAAAAGUAAUGCUUAAAACAUACCCAUCACAGAAGCAGGCGACUCUAGUGAUGGUCACUUUGGAUCUUUUAUCAACUCAUUCAGUUGAUGAAGAGUACAUUGGAGAGUAUCCGGAAUCAUCUUGGGCUGAUGAACCUAUGAUAAAUGCUGCUUUUGAACGUUUUAAAGGUAGGCUUCAAUAUCUAGAAGGAGUGAUAGAUGAGAGAAACGUGACACUUUCUCUAAAGAAUAGAGCUGGAGCUGGUGUGGUUAAGUAUGAGCUUUUGAAGCCUACUUCUGAGCAUGGUGUUACUGGAAUGGGUGUUCCCUACAGUAUUUCUAUUUGAUCUAUUUUGUUUUCCUUUCCCAAGUGUCUUUAUUUUUCUGUAUGUCUUCAAGAAAUAAAACAACUGAUCCAUUGUCUUUUCUAUAUAAAUCU
rnacentral:lncRNA from 1 species